GAACACAAAAUGGCGACACGUGGUUAGCAUUCGUCGCCAACGAGAAAUUGGGGUCGGCCCGAAAGCUCUAGAAUGCACCCCUCUUCCUCCCCGGGGCCUUCCACCUCCGCGAGUUUUAUGACUUAAAAAAGCCCACAGGCUGGUCUGAAGAGGAAGACAAACAUAAAGAUGAAGUGCUUAAUUCAAGGUCACACAAUGUCGGGGAUGGACCUCCAGAUUUCCUUACUGACCUGCAUUAUCUUGUGGAUACCUGAGUGAAUUCCACACCACCCAUUUUAUAGAUGAAACCACUGAGACAUGGAGCAAUUGACUGAGUAGUCACUGCCCCACCCCUGCCUGGAGCCUCACACAUGACUCGCCUCCUCUCAGUGACCACAGGAAAACAAGCUCAGGGCUCCCACUGAUUGUACAUUAUGAGACGGAGUCUUGCUAUGUUGCCCAGGCUGGUCUUGAACUCCUCACCUCAAGCGAUCCUCCCGUCUUGGCCUCCCAAGUGUCAGGAUUACGGGCAUGUGCUAUCACACCCAACCUGAUACAUUGCCUUUAUAAAUUUUUUUUUCUUUAUUCUAAAAACCAGAAAAAACAAAACUGGAUACAUGUGCAGAACAUGCAGGUGAGACGUGGUCUUGUAACACAGUGGUUAAGAAUGUGACUUUGGAGCCAGCCUGCUAGGGGCUGAAUUCUGACUCAGCCAUUUACUAACUGUGUGACCUUAGGCUGGAGUGCAAUGGCAUGAUCUCGGCUCAUCACAACCUCUGCUUCCUGGGUUCAAGCGAUUCUCCUGCCUCAGCCUCCCGAGUACCUGGGACUACAGGCACUCGCCACCAUGCCCGGCUGAUUUUUGUAUUUUUAAUAGAGAUGGUUUCACUAUGUUGGCCAGGCUGGUCUCGAACUCCUGACCUUGUGAUCUGCCCACCUCAGCCUCGAAAAGUGCUGGGAUUACAGGCGUGAGCCACUGCGCCCAGCCUUGUAUUUUUUUUCAGUUUGGGUAGCUGUCCCUAAUUCAUUUGUUAAAGGAGAAGCAAGAGCAAGAACCUUUAAUCUGUUCUCCUCUUCCCUAAUUUGAAAGUAGCUUGUUAUUUUGAAUAUCACUUUCUCUGAAAUAGCACAUCUCCAUCUCAGAGAAUGGAUUUAAUGUUUGGAUACAGCCAAAAGUCAUUUCAUUACCAAACCAUGGGGUGAAUAUACCAUGUAAAGCAGUUUGGGAUCAGAACUCACAGUCUGAAUUGUAAGUGAUGAGACUGCUGUCUCUCUGCUACAGCUUCUUGGCUGGCUCUGAAGGCUCUUUGAAGGCAGAUCCUAACAAGGGGACUGCUUUGAAGGGCCAUUGUUCAUUUGGAAUGAUAAAGUCUAUGUUGUUCAAAAAACAAAUGCUUGUAGCAGGUAUUUUUUCACUCCAGACUGAGAAUAUUGGUGGGAUAUUGAUAAGGGGUACUGAAUGGUAAUAAACAUGUGCUCUAGCUCUGUGCUAGUCAGCUUAUUUCAGAACUCUAGUUUGAUUCAGUUUCUUGCCUCUGACUCAAAAUGGAGGGAGAGUGAUUUUUACAUAAGAGAACACACCCACAUAUCCUUUUGGCAGCAGCUACCUGCCAGAGAUGUUGAAGAAGAGUAGCCAACCUUUACACAGCAGAUAUUGUGUGCCAGUCAUAGUCCUAAGUAUAAUACCUUACAUGUAUAAACUUCUUAUAAGGUUGGUGCUCUGUACCGAAUUGAAUAGUAUCCCCCAAAAUUCAUGUUGUCCCAGAACCUAUGAAAGUGAUCUUACUUGAGGGAGGGGGGAGGGGGGAGGGAUAGCAUUAGGAGAUAUACCUAAUGCUAAAUGACGAGUUAAUGGGUGUAGCACACCAGCAUGGCACAUGUAUACAUAUGUAACUAACCUGCACAUUGUGCACAUGUACCCUAAAACUUAAAGUAUAAUAAUAAUAAAAUAAAAAAAAAAAAGAAAGUGAUCUUACUUGGAAAUAAGGUCUUUGCACAUAUGAUCAAGUUGAGAUGAAGUUGUACUGGAAAGUCUGUCUAGUGACUGGUGUUGUCAUAAGAAGAGAGGGACACAGAGGGAAGAUGGCCACAUGAAGAUGGAGGCAGAGAUUGCAGUUAUGCUGCUGCAAACUAAGGAAUGGCUCUGGCCCUCCAAGGAUUGCUGAUAACCACCAGAAACUAGAAGAGACAAGGAAGGAUUCUUCCCUAGAGCCUUCAGAGGGAGCAUGGCCCUACUGACACCUGGAUUUCAAACUUGUAGCUUCCUAAACUGCAAGAGAA
rnacentral:lncRNA from 1 species